rnacentral:lncRNA from 1 species
UUUUUUUUUUCUUUUUAAAGAGUUGUUACAAAAGAAACGAUAAUAUUAAUAUGACAGUAGCAGUUAUAGUACUACUUAGUAAAUAGUGAUAAUAGUAACAGAUAAAUAACAAUAAUAAGGUCUCAAAUUAGCAAUAAAAUAUUUAAUUUGAAGUAGAUGUAUGUCAAUCCCCGGCAGCAGCGCCAAAAUUUAACGAGACCAAUGUGUAUAGGAUUUUCCUGCUCUUGCUUUGUUAAAUUGUAGUAUAGUUUAUGACAUCGUCCCACAAAGAUUGAAAAAUAUAUUCUACAGACUUAUAAUAUUUUAACUACAAUUUGAGAGAAUCAGAUUGAUAAAAAGUUGUGGAAUUAAAACUUGUUAAAUACUUAACAAAAUUAAAUAACUUUUGAAAGAUUUAUAAUUUAAAAGAGUUGGGAAUCGUUGAAUUCACUUGAUAAUAUAUUAUAAUAAAAUCUCACUUUCUACAUGUAUUCUCUAAAGGAUAAUGUAUACGGUGAAAUCGAAGGGUCCAAUUUCUCAUUGUCAAAGCACCUCGGAAGACCGUCUCGAAGUCCCGGGGCUAAAAGGCUACGAUCGAGACUCCUCUCUCGAGGUUCGUCGACACUCGGUCUUGUGAUAAUGUCAACCAAGGCCACGUCGAAAACAGGGAGUUCCCAAGGCACGUGGGUAGGACUGAAAGAGCAUAGAGAGCUACUCUAGGACCCGAGUCAGGGUGUCAUCUAGUGGUCACAUCUCCAUAUCUUUGUAAUCAAUGCUUUUUGUACUAUGAUGGGAUUUUCCUCCUAUAUAAAGGGGAUCCCUAUCACUUUGUAAGGGUUGGUCACUUCAGUUACUCCAUACGAAAAUAUACAAGAACUCUCUAUUUCACUCUCUCACAUACUCUCUUGAUAUUAUUGCUUUCAUUUCUUGUCUUCUUAUUUGUUCAUCAUUUAUUGCUUAUCAUUGGCCAUAAAGAGCCUUCAUUGAUUAUUUCAUAUCUGUUAGCCCUACCCCGAUAACCCACGAUAGCUCAAGUCCGAGCCCCGGAAUCGACCUCGAGGCUCCAGAUCGACAAGCUCGAGGCCCUGAAUAACUGACUUAUCGGUUUGAUUGUAGUUCCCUCCUUAACUUUAUUUCGUCUCUAAACCUCAUAUACUUAGCACCAACUGCUUAACAAACUAGCAUAAAAAUAGAUCACGUAUUUUUAGAGUCCCAUCAAUAAAUUUAACUAUUAUUACCAUUUUCACGGUAAACAGUUUGGCGCCAACCAUGGGGCUAAAAAUAAUAGUGAUUAUUUUCUUGCUGAUUUCUCACACAACACAAGUUAUCUUUCACGCUUUUUCUUGUCCAAAAUCUUUGAUUUUAGGUCAAUAUGUCUAACUCAAUGAAUGGAGGCGAAAACAACAAUCUCGAGGACCACGGGGAGAACGGUGGAUGUUCCGGGAGUUGGUGUGCUACCACAAAACCCUGGGAAUUUGCCUGAACCAAUCCCCAUGGAGGCGGUCUCUUGUGACGCCCAACGCAUCGAUAUAAGCUCACAUACCGACAGGAGCAUGCAUUAGGGAGAUCCACAAGAAGCUCAGAAAACCACGACGAGGGAAGGACGUGAGGUUAGCCUUCAUGUUAUUUUUGAAAUGUUGCAAGCACAACAGCUAGUUGUUGCUCUGCUACAAAGUCACCAGAAAACUCCCAACACGGUAGCACCGGGGACAGCUCCCCCAGCUGAACAGGUACCAGAGAGAUCAAGCAAUAACGGUUCGAUGACCGAUCCUGGUAUCAUAAAAAUGCUCGAGGACCUCACCAGGAGGAUCGAUUCGGGCGAGAAGAUGAUAGAAGCCAAUGACAAAAAGGUCGAAACUAACAACUCCAGGGUCGACUAAAUUCCGGGCGCACCCUCGGUCCUGAAAGGCGUGGAUUCGAAGAAGUUCAUACAAAGGUCGUUCCCUGAGGAGGCGGCCCAGAAACCCAUUCCAAAGAUGUUCAAAAUGUCGAAAAUCACAAAAUACAAUGGGACCUCAGAUCCCAAUGAGCACGUUACCGCCUACACCUGUACGGUAAAAGGCAACGACAUAAAUGACGACGAAAAUGAGUUAGUCUUGUUAAAAAGGUUCGGGGAAACACUCUCAAAUGGGGCCAUGAUGUGGUAUCACAACUUAGCUCCUAACUCCAUAGGCUCAUUCGCCAUGCUAGCAGAAUUCUUCGUAAAGGCACAUGCCGGUGCCAUCAAAGUAGCAACGGCGAAAUCCGACGUUUUCAAGAUUAAGCAAAGGGAGAACGAGAUGCUGCGAGAAUUCGUAUAUCGCUUUCAAAUGGAAUGGAUGGAGCUACCGCCAGUCUCCGAUGACUAGUCAGUGCAGGCUUUCACUCAAGGUCUGAAUGAACGAAGCUUGGUGGCUUCAAAAUAAUUGAAACAGAAUUUGAUCGACUAUCCAGCUGUGAACUGGUCGGACAUCCACAACCGGUACCAGUUGAAAAUCAGGGCUGAGGAUGACUAGUUGGGGGCCCCCUCGGGCUCAGUAUAUCCAAGGAGGCUCUUGGAGAAGGAGCCAAAGCCAAACAAAGAAAGAUACCAACCGUACACCGAAGAUAGGAUGAACGCCCCGAGGCGCAACCCACCGUGCAAUAAUGGAAGGAUAGGCCGAGGACAGAACCCUCGGGGACUCACUAACAGAGCCAGAUUCGAUAGUAAUGCAGGGCCAACGGGGGCACCGCACUUAUCAAAAUACAACUUCAACGUCGAUGUAUCAGACAUCGUGUUCGCCAUCAGUAAAAUCAAAGACGCCAGGUGGCCCAGGCCUGUACAAUCGGACCAUUCACAAAGGAAUCAUAACUUAGUAUGCCAGUUUCACAACACGCAUGGCCACAGGAUCGAGGAUUGCCACCAACUCCGAGAAGAGGUAGCUCUCUAGUUAACAAGGGUCAUCUCCGGGAAUUCCUUAGCAACCAAGCCAAAAAUCAGUUCCAGGAAAGAGAGGCGGCCAAGAAAAAUGAAGCAAAUGAGCCACAACAUGUCAUCCACAUGAUCUUGGGAGGCGUCGAUGCCCCGCAAGAACCCAUAAUGAGAAGAAUAAAAUAUUCAUCACUAGAGAAAAGCGAACCCAGGGAUAUAUUCCCCAGGACGCCCUCACAUGCAGCAAAGAGGACACCGAGACCUUGUAUCAACCUCACAAUGACGCACUAGUAAUAUCUUUCCUCAUAAAUUAUUUUAAAAUAAAAUGUGUACUCGUGGAUCCAGGUAGCUCGGCCAACAUUAUCAGGUCGAGGGUGAUAGAGUAGCUUGAACUACUUUACCAAAUCGUGUCUGCCACUCGUGUCCUCAACGGAUUCAACAUGACAAGUGAAACAACAAAAGGAGAAAUUACGCUCCCAGUCACCAUGGCCGGUACGACCUAAAAUUCCAAAUUCCAUGUCAUCGAAGGAAACAUGAGGUAUAACGCCUUGUUCGGAUGGUCGUGGAUACACUGCAUGAGAGCAGUACCAUCCACUCUCCACCAAAUGAUGAAAUUCUUAACAAAGGAUGGAAUUAAACCGUCUACGGGGAAUAACAUGCGGCGAGGGAAAUGUUUGCGAUGCACGAUGUGGCACCGCCAUUAGGACCUCUGCUUGCAAAAGAUCCAAAGGGUAAUCAAGCCACGCCUUCGAUCAAACACGUCAAACAAAGUAAAGGACCAUACCACAUCCUCGUCUCUAGUAAUUAGGAUGCAUCGGUCCUCGAAACGUCGCAGGCACAUCCUACACUAAGGUAUAACCAUCUCCCUUUUCAUUUAGUAUUUCGUACUAACCCAUAUGCAGAUGCCCGAUCGAAGCAGUCAGAGCGUUAGUCCAACUCGAACACCUUAAGGUUUCAAAGCAUCCAUUGCACUCUUUUCCUUCGACCGAGUUUUUAUCCCGAAAAGGGUUUUACUGGCAAGGUUUUUAAUAAGGCAACAUCUACAUGCUACCUAAGGGAGACUCAACAAAUGUUCGAGGCUUCUUUUGCAAUCAACCUCGAAUACUGGGGGGAAACAAUGUACCAAGCCAAACGGUCAAACGAACAGUGUCCAUAUAGUCCGGCCCCCGACGACGAAUACAUGUACACCUGUAUCAAAUAAUUGAAUAAUAUAUUUUGUCAAAGCAUUUCGCGCUCCAAAAGAGGCUUGACACCUCCACAAAAAUGAUUUCUCCACUAGAAACGUCCUGAAGACUCGGGGACUAGAGUCAACAAUUUAAUGCUUGAAUGACAUCUGGGUCGGGACUACAAAAUCACAAGCCCUCAGGUGAGGCAACAAUCGCAAAACAUCUCCAAGGCGAAAGGUGCCCCGCCACUCGGGGACUGGCGCCGAUAUCUCCAAGAAUGCACGAUCUCAAGGUCAGGAUCUCCGAAAUCAUAAGCCCUCGACAAGGCAAUACAAAGUUUGCGAAUAAUGGUUCUCGAGUCAGGAAACCCUCGACGACUCAGAGUCUUCCAUCAAUCACCAUCUCCAUCGACUUAUUAAAAAUCGAGGCCCUAAGACCCCGAACGGGCAGACUCGGUCUCGUAAGACCUACAUAAGGCAACAACUAUAUAUAUAAGGCCUCAACGGCAUCAAAAAAUCUGUAAGACCUCAAUGGCAUGAAAAACUUGUAAGACCUCAACGACAUAAAAAUUUGUAAGACCUCAAGCAAGGCAUGAACCACACUUGUACCAAGUGACAAAACUGUAGGACCUCAACGGCAUGAAAAAACAGUAAGACCUCAAUGACGUGAAAAACUUGUAAGACCUUACUNNNNNNNNNNNNNNNNNNNNNNNNNACUUGGGACUCAAAGGCUCCGACCAAACACAAGUGAAUCCGCUCACACGGUUGUACCAGCCGAACUAAUGCGACUUGAGGAUGCCCUACCGUCGCUACAAGGCAUAAGAGCCAUUGUCGCCAACCCACACAGGCCUUCAAAUUACUCCGAAUCUGCUUCGGAAAGAACUAGUUAUACAUGCUACCCUCGGUAUAGGCAAAAGAGCUUCUACCAUGUCAUCUCCAAAUCACAAGCUUCGAGCUACUUAGAAUCCAAGAUAAACCUCCCGAAGUGCUCAAACAUUACCACAAGUUGCUCGAAAUCGAGGUUCUUCCUGAACCGAUGACGAGCCAGGCAAAGAUUACUUCAAAAGUCCUUAACAAAAGGAAAAUAAAGACUACAUAAAAGGUCGUAUCGACCAAGUGCGUAAGAGCCAUAGUCGCCAGCCUAAUGAGCCUCAGGGCCACACACACAAAAGGUCGCUUCGACCAAGCUCAUAAGAACCACUGUCGCCAGCCUGAAAUUUAAAAACUUGAGGGUCAAAAUGAGCUCGAGUUGUAACCCGAUUCGGAGACUAGACCCAAAAUAGUUAACUAUAUAUGCCUAAGGGCAAAACGUCAGAGCCAUUGUCACAAGCUUACAUUAAAGGUCGCUUCGACCCAAAGCGUGAGAGUCAUUGUCACCAGCUCACGUUGAAGGGUCGUAUCGGCCUAAGGCAUAAGAGCCACUGUCGUCAGCCAACUUACAUUAAAAGGUCAUUUCGACCCAAAACGUGAGAGCCAUUGUCGCCAGCUUACAUUGAAAGGCCGCAUCGGACCAAGGCAUAAGCGCCACUGUCGAAAAGCCCACUUACAUUAAAAGGCCGCAUUGGCCCAGGGCGUAAGAGUCAUUGUCGCUAGCCCACGUACACUAAAAGGUCACAUCGGCCAAAAGCAUAAGAGCCACUAUCGCCAGCUUAAAAUUCAACCAUUCGAAGGUCAAAUAAGCUCAAGUCGAUGCUUGACUUAGGGACUGAGCCAAAAACAGGUGGCCUAAGUAUGCCUAAGUGCGAAAGCAUGUAAGAAACUACGGGCCAGUCCAAUGAGCACUGGGGGCACAUCACUACUCUAAGGAUUCCUACCAAUGCAAAAACAAGAUCGCCUGGUCAAAAUCAAGACAGAAAAAGAUACGAAAGGAGUAAAGCCGCAAGGUUUUAUUUAAUAACAUGCAACAAACACAACCUCUACCUACAAACAUGCUUUGAAAAUGCUACAUACAGAUGACAAAAUCUAUGCCCCCCAGGGGUUAUGGCCUACCGGUCUCAUCCCCGCUUUUCUCGGCAUCAGGCAAAAGCAAUCGAGCAUCACGCACAUCCGCCCUUGCUAGCUCCAAUUCUUUCGAGAGGGCGAAACCCCUAUCACGGAUCUCCUCGGCGGUCUUUCUUCGAGACUUGCAACGAGCAUAUUCUUCAAUCCUCCCUUCGCGAUCGAGUAUCCUUCUCAGCUCGGCUUGAGCAUCGACAGCAUCCUUUAAGUAGAUCAUCAUUUCCUGGCCAGCCUUAGUCCGGCUCAUUAUAGCUUCUGCCCGAGCAUCAAUGAUCUUAUCCCUGACUUUCGAAAGCUCGGAUUCGAGUUUCACAAUCAUUUCCAUCUAAACCAAAGCAUUGUCACAAGCUAUGCGAAGUUGGGAUUCAAAAGUGGAAACUUUGGCCAGAGCAUCCUUCCACUUUAAAGCCUGAGCCUUCGCCCGAGCUUUCAAUUCAUCAUGCUCAUGCCUGGCCCAGCCAACUUCAUCUCGAAGGUGCUUCAGUGCCUCCGUCUUUUUCUGAAACUAAAAUAAACUAAGUAUUAGCCCCGGGAACCAGGAGGUGGAAUGCACACUCACCCGGGAUAGAAAACUACCUGCUCCUUCAGGUGGUUCUCAUAAUUUAGGCUCCGACCCACCUCAUACCGCAAGUGUACCAGCUCGACUUACUUUUCAUCACAAAGGAGCCUCAGGGAUCUAUCCUCAUCUAGAGCUUUCUGUAGCCUAACUUCACAACAAAGCGGCCCGGACUUAAGCUUGUUGAAUGCCUGCAAAAGAAAACACAAUAAGGAAAGGAAGGCGCAAAUCUUGAAAAACCUGUACCGAAACUCACCGCAAAGUGAAGCUGAUGUGCUUCAUUGAAAGAUGAGUGCACACCUGGCUAUCCAGUCCCUUUGGCCAUGAAAGAGCCUACUCCGAUCGAAGCACGGUCGCUCGGUGUAUGCGACCCCGAGUUUCUAAUAUCUCCCAAAAUGCUAUCAACAGAAAAAGAAGGUGACAACAAUGGAGAAACCCUCUUUCCAGAACCGAGAGCCAAGGACACGACAGGCUCUGAUGAUGAUUCCCCUUCGAAGCCCCGAUCUUGCCCCGGCUUACUUUGAGCGUCAUCGCCCUGUAAAGCACCUCUCGCUUAUUGUUAUCGUUCUUCAGCCCGGGAGCUGGCAACCCUUUCCCCUUUUCCGAAGGAGCAGGACCUCGCCUCGAAAGGCUCUCCAAUGCCUACAAUAGUAAGAUUAAUACGCGUAAAAGGGGAUAUGCUUCUCCACAUAAAAGAAGGGAAAGGAAGGAAUAGCACAACACUCACCAUAGUAUUUUGCUUCUCAUCUUCCCCAGGACAAAGCUCGUCACUUGAGCUCAUCAUAGGUCGAGUGGAUCGCCAAUUCUCGAACCCAAUCCGGAAGAUUAGGAACGUCGUCCGACGCCUAUUAUACCGCUGUAGAAGAAGAAGGGAAGACACGAUUACGAAACAUGUUCUCGCUAUAGGCAAAUGUGAUAAAGCGCAAAAUGCACCACUUAGGUGUGUAAUUCUAUUCCUUAAGAAAUGGCAUAAGCUCCAUGGGGAUAAUGCCAACGGUCCGCACUCAGACGAAAUGACUGAUCCAUCCUCAAUCUUCGUCCUUCUCGUCAUCAACAACAAAGGGCGUGGUUGAUCUACAUCGCAAGGUUAGCAGACCUCAAUGGUGAAAGGGUCGGUACACCCUAAGAAGUUGACUGAGCAAAAAUUCAAGCCCCGCCUUCUACGCGAAAAAUCUCACCAUCAACACCGUUUGCCAAAACGAUGGAUGGACUUGCGCCAAGGUAACACAAUACUCUAAGCAGAAGUUAAGCACAACCCUAUCAAGGGGGCCUCGUGUGAUAGGAUACGUGUACACAUUUAAAAACCCAUCGGCAUGAUCCAUGGUGCCCUCACCCGGGGAACAUGCUUGUAACAUCACUUUCUCCCCCCAUUCGCAGUCUUUCCUCACUAACUCAAGAUGCUCUUCCCCUAUCAAUGAAGUGGUCUUAAAGGAAUAAUCUCAUUGAUCGUAAACACCGGAGGCGAAGCUCUCUUCUCCUCAUCGAACGGGCCACGACAUAUCGACCGUGGCGAUGACGAAAUUAGAGAACUAAAAGGUAGGAAUAUGUGCAGACGCGUCAGUGCUGGAGUACCAAAAGGCUAACGCAGAAAAAGAAAGGCAACUGAUUAAUAUGGUGUAACCCCCAAAAAAACAUAAACAACCCUAUUUAUAUAUGGAAAAAAUGGCGACGACUCACCUGCCUCAAAGCCGGCUAAGAACACUAACUGAUGCCGCCUUCUCCAGUCCUGAGGUGGUACCAAACCAUGAGGACCUCCAUCAAAACAAGGUUAGGCUCCAAGAAGCCAAUAACACCUUCUCUAGUCCCGAGGUGGUACCUGACCUCGAGGACCUCCAUCAAAACAAGGUUAGGCUCAAAGAAGCUAAUAAUACCUUCUCCAGUCCCAAGGUGGUACCCGACCUCGAGGACCUCCAUCAAAACAAGGUUAGGCUCCAAGAAGCCAAUAACACCUUCUCCAAUCCCAAGGUGGUACCUGACUUUGAGGACCUCCAUCAGAACAAGGUUAGGCUCCAAGAAGCCAAUAACACCAUUGCCAGUCCCGAGGUGGUACCCGACCUCGACGAACUCCAUCAAGAUAAGGCUAGGCUCCGAGAAGCCGAUGACGCCUUCACCAACAACAAGGUGGUACCCGACCUCAAGGAUCUCCAUCAAAGGGAAAUUUAGGCUAUAGAAAGCCAAUGGCAUCAUUACGAGACCCGAGGUGAUACUCAACCUCAGGGGUUUUUUGUCAAAAGGGAAUCAGGCUCCAAGAAAAUAAGCAUUUAAACUCCACCUGUAUGGGCUUGGCCCCGGAGUACCAUCCAAGAUCGGACAAACCCUCUCUCGAGAUCUAUCUACAGCGCCCUAAGUCUAUUUACACUAAGCCCUGAGUGAGUUUCCAGGUGGUCCGAAUGUAAACGAACCUCCGCUCGGGGACUGCUCUCGAGAGAUCAAAGGCAUUCCCUGUCCACAGGCCUCCGAGAAUAUUUCUUCUCAAAGGUUACCAUGGAGUUUAAGUAAUAAACCAUAAUUCCAAGGCCCAAAACGUUACUUUCAUUCUACUCGAAGUCAAAGUCCUAAUGACUUGAGUUCAUCGGCCCGAUUCAGGUUCGAUCUAAGGGAUCACAAAGGGUUUCGCGCAAGGCCAUAUUAAUCGGCCAAAGCCCAGAAAGAAUACUCGCACCUGGGUUUGGUAUUGGCAACAGCAGAUGGAGUCAUGCAUUCAGAGUCUCCACAAACAUAAAAGAAUAUAGCAAGCAUUGAAGACAAAUUGGAGAAAAUACCUUUGUAUUCAUGAAACAUUCAAUUACAAAAGCCUAUGAGGGGUCCUUACAUAUGAUUACAAAAGCCCACGAAGGGUUCUUACACAAAAUUAAAGAAGCGAGAGGGUACACAAGUAGUGAAAUCCCGGGACUUAAUCUACUCUCGAAGGUUCAUCUUCGUUAUUAGCAUCUCCGAGCUCCACCCCCUCGAGCAUGCAUCCUCGACGGUGACACCUUCGACUGCCACCUCCUCUAGGUUCCCAUCUCCAUCCCACAGAGCAAUAUCUCCAAGGGCGAAGAUGAAGAAGAGGAAAGCGGGAAGGCAAAGAAGAGGGAGGUGAUGCAGAAGAAGCAGAAAAAAGAGAAAUAGCCUGCCAAAGCCAAAGGUUGAAGACUCGGCGGGCCUCAAUCCUACUCGCACGGCCAAUCCGGGUCCACCUUCCGGGACAUUGUGGCAUGCGAGCUUAACGGCUGGUGCACCAUUUUAUCCCUUGGCAAAAGACUCGAGGGAUGAAGUGCGGCACCCGGCCAGGGUAGGAGAGUGAGCAGUGGUGUAUAGUCUGAACACUCUCCUGAGUAGCGGUGUAGAGUCUGAAUGUCCUCCUAAGUCAAAAAAGGUCGACCCCUUUGCCUCGUCACCUCGGUCUAAUGACGACAGCAGAGAUAGUCGUAACAAUAACAAUAAUAAUAACGAGAUAGUAUAGUCUCGCUCGGCAUAGGUGAGUCUAGGUGGGAGGCCAUGGCACGGCUGGUAAGAACUCCACCGUAAGAUCUUAUGGUCAGAAACCCCAAACAUGGCGGAUAGCAAUAAGAGAAGGAUGAUGAGAAUAAAAAAGAAAGGAAUGGAAAGAUUAUGAGAAACACUUGAAUAAAAGUUAGCAUGGAUAGGCCCCAUUUAUAGGGGAUGAUAGUGUGGCCUACAAUGCCAUCAAUGCCUUUAGAAGACCUAUCGAAAGGAACAAUCAAUGCGCCAUUGGAAACUGGAUCGACGACGAUACGGUUGCCGUGAAGGAUGUGAAUCGGCAUCACAUUGAAAAAUGCUGAAAAGAUAAGUCCAUGAGAUGUACCGAUUGUCGCGGAGACAUACAUCAUAAGUAUGAUAUCGUUAGCGUGACAUCACUGUGGUAAGUCCGAAGAUCUGGGUGUCAAAAUCGUUUCUUAUCACUUCUCUCUAAGGAACGCGGGGACUAUCUGUAUACGGUGAAAUCGGAGGGUCCAAUUUCUCAUUGUCAAAGCACCUCGGAAGACCAUCUCGAAGCCCCAGGUCUACAAGUCUACGAUCGAUACUCCUCUCUCGAGGUUCAUCGACACUCGGUCUUAUGAUAAUGUCAACCACGGCCACGUCGAAAACGGGAUUUCCCAAGGCACAUGGGUAAGACUGACAGAGCGUAGAGAGCUACUCUAGGACCCCAGUCAGGGUGUCAUCUAGUGGUCACAUCUCCAUAUCUUUGUAAUUAAUGCUUGUUGUACUAUGAUGAGAUUUCCCUCCUAUAUAAAGGGGUUCCCUAUCACUUUGUAAGGGUUGAUCACUUCAGUUACUCUACACGAAAAUAUAGAAGAACUCUCUAUUUCACUCUCUCACAUACUCUCUUGAUAUUAUUGCUUUAAUUUAUUGUCUUCUUAUUUGUUCCUCAUUUAUCGCUUAUCAUUAUCCAUAAAGAUCCUUCAUUGAUUAUUUCAUAUCUGGUAGCCCUACCCCGAUCACCCACNNNNNNNNNNNNNNNNNNNNNNNNAUAGCUCACGUCUGAGCCCCGAAAUCGACCUCGAGGCUCCGGAUCGACAAGGUCAAGACCCUGAAUAACCUACCUAUCAAUUUGAUUGUAGCUCCCUCCUUAACUUUAUUUUGUCUCUAAAUCUCAUAUACUUAGCAUCAACUGCUUAACAAACUAGCAUAAAAAUAGAUCACAUAUUUUUAGAGUCUCAUCAACAAAUUUAUUUGUUUUUACCAUUUUCACGGUAAACAGAUAAUUGCUUAUUUCUAAUACAAUUAUAUCUUAUCUCACCAAAAAUUAAUUAACUAAUAACACUUCGUGAAGUUAUGUAAUUAAUUGAAUUAAAACUAGUGACGGUUAAACCGAAAUAUUUUCUGGUCUGAAUUGUGCUAAAAGAUAGUAAAACUUCGUGAGAAUUUUUUUACUAAAAUCAAUACUCAUGCGACUACAAUUCCUCCGUGAGAAUUAAAAUUGAGGCAAGCAAAAUUAUCGACUUCUAAUAAUAGCUUACUAAAAAUUACUCACUUCACUAUUUUAUUCAGUAGCAAAAGGGUCUGGACUUGGCAUCGUAUUGAAGCCACCCACAAGCAAUGCCAUUAGAAAAUCUAUUAGAACUGUGAAAUUGACUAACAACGAGGCCGAAUAUGAGGCUAUUAUUGUAGUCUCGAACAUGCCAAAAGCUUGAGGGCGGAGGUGAUCGUAGAUAAGUGAGACUCCCUCCUUGUGGUGAACUAAGUUAAUGGAACAUUCGAGGUCAGAGAUGAACGAAUGAAAAGGUACUUAGAUAAGUUGCAGGUAACAUUACACCGAUUCAAGAAGUGGACUUUGCAAAACGUACCCCAGGAUCAAAAUAGCGAGGUUGAUGCCCUCGCAAACUUAAGGUCGUCGGUCGAGGAUAACAAGCUCAACUCCGGGAAGAAGGUCACGCCGAAAUAAACUCUACAAGCUUGACUUGGGAUUAGAGAAAAAAAUAUGUAGAAUAUUUGAAGACUAGGAAACUGCCUUCGAAUCUAAAAGAAUUGAGGGCCAGCAUACAAAGGUGUCACGACCCGGAUUUCCAACCUUCGGGAGUCGUGAUGGCGCCUACUCAUGAAAGCUAGGCAAGCCGAGUAUUAUAAAUUCAUUACCCGUUUUUCUUAACCUUUUAACAUUUACAAAUUUACAUGUGAUCAACAACGUAAUAAUCAUAAUAAACAGAAAUGCGGAAGACUAAAUAUAGUAGUUUAACCAAAUACUAGUACAGAAUCCAACAUACAACUCUACCCACAAUUGGUGUCACAAUGUCACGGACUAUCCAUGAAUACUACAAACAGUGGUCUGAAGGAAAAUAAUACAAGUCUGUCUUUGAAAUACAUAAAAAUAGAAUGGAAAUAUAGAAGGGGAUGCCAAGGCCAGUGGAUAUCUACAGGACUACCUCGGGUCUCCUGCUGGACUGAAGGCAGCAACCUCACUGUGGUCCAAAAGCUCCAGCAAUGGGAUCUGCACACAAUGCAGAGUGUAGUAUCAGCAAACCGACCCCAUGUAUUGGUAAGUGUUGAGCUUAACCUCGGUGAAGUAGUGACAAGGCUAGGACAAGACUACCAAAAAACUUGUGCAGUUUUAUCAUAUAAACCAAGUAAUAACGAUAUAAUCUAGCAGUUAAAGAUGAGGAGGGGAAACAUUCUCAGGGGAAUAUCAUGUACAAACAGAAAUUCAGUAGAGAAGCAUACGGAACACCAAAAUUCAACUCUAAGAAAGAAUAAGGAAAUCAAUGACAAGUGCACGACAUCACCCUUCAUGCUUUUACUCUCGUUCUCACCAUAAGAAUAAAUAUAUUCGGUACGGCAUCACCCUUCAUGCUUUUACCUCACAAAAUCAUGGUACAUCAUUAUCCUUUGUGCAUUAUCACUCAUAUCAUGUCACGACAUCACCCUUCGUGCUUUUACAUUUACAAUAUCGCCACGGCAUCACCCUUCGUGCAUUAAUACUUACUCACAAAGAUCACACACGACAUCACCCUUCGUGCUUUUGCACUAUUCCUUACCCAAGCAACAAUCACAAGCAAUUCGGGCAAGGGAAUCAAUAAAACCACAAUAGAAUCCCGGCAGGGGAACAAUUAUAUAACAAUAAUAUCCGCACAAAGGAAUCAAUAUCAUGAGCAAUAACAUCCCGGCAAGGGAAAUAAUAUCAAGAGCAAUAACAUCCCGUCAAGGGAGACAAUAUCAUAAACCUCUUCUCUAUUCCACAAUUACUUCACAACUUAAUUCUCAACUUGAGCCAACACUGUACAAUGUUCAAUUACCAAGAAUACUUCCACAAGCCUUGUUCAACAUUAGAAAUCAUCAUAUUAAGCAUGGACAAUACAAAAUGGAGUCACAUCAAUCAUAGUAUAAGACUCACUGGCAUGCUUGACACCAACGUAUAGGUACUCGUCACCACACCUAUAUAUCGUACUCAACAAUUAACACCUAUCAAAUAAGACCACGACUCCUAUUCCCUCAAUCUAAGGUUACACCAAACACUUACCUCAAUGCCACGAACACAAUCAAACCUCAACUACCGCUUUACCCCUCGAUUCCACCACCAAUUUGAUUGUAUCUAGCCAUAAUUGACUUAACAAUCUCAAUAAAUACUAAAUGAAUCAAUUCCAAUGCAUGAAAAUAGGUUUUCCAAUGAUUUUCCCAAAAAGUCAAAAAUCGACCCCAGGACCACAUGGUCAAAACCCUAGGUUCAAAUCAAAACCCAAUCACACAUUCACCCACGAACUCAAAUUGGUAAUUUGUUUUGAAAUCGGACCUCAAAUCGAGGUCCAAAUCCCCAAAAAUUAAAAAUUUUAUGUUCUACCCAAAAACACAUAAUUCCCACAUGAAAACCCUUGAUUUUGAAUUGAAAUCAUGUAAAAAGAUGUUAUAGAUUGAAGAAAAUGAGUUAUAAAUGACUUGCAAUUGAUUUGGAGAAGAACUUUUCUUUGGAAAAUUGCCCAAGAGAGCUUAGCGUUUGAGAGAGUUUGAAAAAUGAAGAAAUUUCGUCUAAGUUAUAAUUUGCACAGGUGCAGAUAUCGUAUUUGUGAAGUCAGGUUCGUAAAUGCAAACUCGCAAAUGCGGCCCAGGCUUCGCAAAUGCGAAGGUAUGCCAGUCCUGCUUUCUUCAUAAAUGUGAACUAUUGUUCGCAAUUGCGGUCCCUGUUGAAGUCGCAUUUGCGACACUGAGCUUCGCAAAUGCGAUGGUCUCCCUACCCAGCUCAUCUUCGCAAUUGCGAUAAUUAUUCACAAUUGGGAUAAUUCUUCGCAAUUGCAAGCUCGCAUUUGCAAGUCAGGCUUCGCAAUUGAGAAGCUUGCAGACCUGCAACACACUAGCAGUUUUCCUAAGUCCAAAUUCACUCCGCGACCUAUCCAAAACUCACCCGAGCCCUCGGGACUCCAAACCAAACAUGCACGCAAGUCCAAAAACAUCAUACGAACUUUCUUGUGGAAUCAUAUCAUCAAAAUAGAAUCAAAAACUAUGAAUUAAACCUCAAAUUCAUGAAAUCACGAACUCCGAUUCUUACCAAACUUCACAUAUUCAACUUAAUUAUUAUAUAAGACCUGUACAGGGCUCCAGAACCAAAAUACGAGCUGAUACCAUCAAUUUCAAACAUCUUUACAUUUCCAAACACUCUUAUAAUUUUAGUUAAACAAUUUCUUUCAAAAAUUCAUUUCUCGGGCUUAGGACCUCGGAAUUCGAUUCCGGGCAUACGCCCAAGUCCCAUAUUUUACUACGGACCCUAUGAGACCGUCAAAUACCGGUUCUGGAUCAGUUUACUAAGAAUAUUGAACAAAAUCAACUUUAAUCAAUUUUAAAAGCCAAUUUCCAUAUUUUACUUAGAUUUCACAUAAACGUUUUCCAGAAAUACGCCCGGACUGCGCAUGCAAAUUGAGGUGAGAUAGAAAAAGGGUUUUAAGGCCUCAAAACACAGAAUUUACUUUCAAAACGAGUGAUGACCUUUUGGGUCAUCACAAAAGGUAGCUCGGUUCAGCUUGUCUGAAGGCGAACCUUGUUUAGAAGAAAGUUCGAUGGCCCACUAUAAAUAUGCCUAAGACCAGGAGAUACCAAGUACGUUAUGAGGAAAGUUCAUGAGGGCACCUAUGGAAAUCAUUUAGACACUAAAUCAUUGGUUCAAAAGGUAAUCAAAGCCGGUUACUAUUGGAUAGAUAUGGAAAAGGGCACAAAGGAGUUUGUACGAAAAUGUGAUGAAUGUCAAAAACAUGCUCCGAUGAUACAUCAACCUGGAGAGCUGCUGCAUUCAGUUUUGUCACCAUGGUCGUUCAUGAAGUAGGGAAUGGACAUUGUUGGCCCCCUUCUAUGGGCACAAAGUAAGGCUCAAAUCAUAUUGUUUAUGACUGACUAUUUUUCUAAGUGGGUUAAAGCCCAGGCAUACGAGAAGGUCGGGAAGAAGAAAGUCAUCAACUUUAUUUGGGACCACAUCAUAUAUCGAUUCAGAAUGUCAUCCGAAAUCAUGUGCGACAAUGGGAAAUAACUUAUCGAUAGCAAAGUGACCAAAUUUCUCGAAUGCCAUAAGAUCAAAAGGAUUCUGUCAACGCCUUAUCACCCUAGUGGGAACGGACAAGCAGAAUCAACCAACAAAGUCAUUCUCCAAAACAUCAAAAAGAGGUAAACUGAUGCCAAAGGAAAAUAGAAAGAAAUUAUACCUGAUUUCAUAUAGGCAUACUAUACGACCUCGAAGUCCAAUACCAGGGCCACCCCAUUCUCGUUGGUUUACGGCGCUGAAGCUCUAAUACCGGUCAAAGGCGGUGAACCAAGUAUCAAAUUCUGAUAUGCUACCAAGGAAUCGAAUGGUGAAGCCUUGAGUACGAGCCUAGAACUAUUAGAUGAAAGGCGCAAAGCCUCCCUUGUCCAGUUGGCUGCCCAAAAGCAACGGAUCGAGAGAUACUACAAUCGAAGGGCCAACAUCCGGCACUUCAAUAUCGGGGACUUAGUUCUAAGGAAGGUCACACUAAGCACCUGAUACCUGAAUGAAGGGACUUUGGGACCGAACUGGGAAGGACCAUACCAGAUUAUUGUGAUCAUCGGAAAGGGGUCCUAUAAACAUGGAACAAUGAAGGGCGAGCAACUACUGAAUACCUGGAACAUAACCCAUUUGAAGAGAUACUACUGCUAAGGUACGACCCCAUUUAUUUUCUUUUUACUUAUUUGAUAGAAUAUAUGAGUCCACCAAACUAUAUAGAGACCAUGUCCUAUAUAGGUUUACACAGAUAAGAUUAAUGCAAAAGUAAGUAAAUGGAAUAGGAACUUUUACGUGGGAAAAUCCCUGCUCAAGGGGAUAAAUAUCAAAACCUACACUGAUAUGAUUUAAAAAUUCACUAUGAGCAAUAUUUAGAUUACAACCUAUGCAAUCUAGGAAUUAAACUCUUAAUCCCUCACUAAGUUGUAAUACACCUAUUACAAGCCAAUUUGCAAUACACCUAUUACAAAGACUUCAACUCAUGACUAACUCUAGUCAAGACACAAACACUAAAGGUUUAUGGUUUACAAGGUGUUCCUAAUUAAAGCUUCUAGAUAAGCAAAGUAGGAAUUACAAUAAAGAACAAUUAUAAAGUUACAACUCAACUAAGGACAUACAAGAGACUUAUUAUAGGAAUUGGUCCGUAGUAGUGUUGUACUUUGUUCUUGAUGCACUUGAGAAUUGAAUGCUUGAUUGUUAGAUGCUUGGAUUUCUUGAAUGAAUGCUCAAGUGUUCAAGUGAUGUUUUGUUGUAAUGUUUUGUUAAUACAACUUGGAUGACAUCACUUGAAUGAUGUAGUCACUUGGUUGGUACAAGGUCAAUGAGAAGUGACUGAUGCACUGUGCUAUACUAUUUGUAUGUACAGUGCAGGCAAUCACUUUCCAGCUAUAGAGAGUUGACUUCAAACUGCUGACAGGAGAACCCAAGAGGAUCAGGUCCCUAUGUUGAUUAUUUAUCUUCUGAAGUCAUAGUAACUCACAUUAGCUGGAGUCCGUUGAUUGAGUUGUGUACCAAGUGUAUCAGGUUACUUAUCUGGUUCUUUGACAGUAAGUUUGUUAGAUAAUCAAAACAUGAAGCUAAGGUACUAUAAACCCAUCAAUUUCCCCCUUUUUGAUGAUGACAAACUUAGAGAUUGACAAUCAUAGUUAGAGCAACAAAAAACCAGAUAAAGUAAUAGGAACUUCACAAGUUCCCCCUAACUUUGUGCUUCCCCCUUAAUCAGUUCCCUGCUUCUUCUUAACUCCUUCAAUUUUAUUUACUUUUCCCCCUUUUGACAUCAUUAAAAACACAUAAACAAGCAAAUAGCAUAAAGACGUCUAGCCUAGUUAACACAUGCUACUUGUGUGCACACAACAUGAUAGAAAAGAGAAGCAGAAACACAUAAGCAUUUACAACAAAAAAAGAGUCUUCAUUAAACAACAAAAAUAUAAGCAUUUGCUGUUACAGCAAAGGCAGUUUCAGAUUGUUUACACAGGAUCAGUACUAGUGAUUUCCAUCUACAAACCAAAAAAAUAUAAACACAACUACCAUAACAUCAUCAAAAGAGAUAUAAACUAGACACUGGUCACUAAUAGAUAUGCCUAGGGGACACUAGAUAAAGAGGGCUUGGAAGAGGCAGCAAGUGUGUUGAGAACAAGAUCUAUCUGAGCAUUGGCAGACAUUUGCUCAGUGAGCAGUUUCUCACUCAGGUUCACAACAUGUUGCCUAAGAUAAGCAUUCUCUUUAGUCAGAUGAGCAAACUCUGCAUUUGAAGAAUUGGAGGACCCUAAUGCCUCUAGAGCCUGACUGAGAUUUGUCUCUAAUAUGACAUUCCUUGCUUUCAACUUUUUGAUCUCUUCAGUAGCACUGUUUUGAGCAUUUAUAAGCUAGGAAAUCAUUGAUGUGCUUCCUACCCCUCCCAUUCUGUCGAUACACUCACAUUCCUCUAGAGUAGUUUUAUAGAUAGUCUUGUUCUUGGUCAGUAUCUUAGGUUGUCCUAAAGGCACUUUAAAGAAUUUAAAGACACGCGUGAGGAGAACCCCAUAGGGGAGGCCAUGAUUUCCAUCUUUGAAUGCUGCUACCUUUUGCAUACGCUGAAUCAUUAUAGCUGGCAGAUUAAUAGUUUGAAACCAUCCAGACUUGUAUAUGAUAGACCUCCUCUCAGCGCGAGGAAGCAGGACCUUGUUCACCAACUCAAACAGGAGCUGAUAAAUAGGAAGCAAAGCAUUCUUAUGCACCUGUUCCCCCCCUCCCCCUGCACUACUCCCUCCUUAACUAUAGCAUGCUUAAAUUUUGAGUAAUAGGCAUCUCUAAUAGAACACAGACCUUCAGUAGGAACCAUAAGUAUGUCUCCUAACAAAUCAGAGUCCAUAACAAUGUCUACGCCAUUUACUAGUGCACAAAUUUGAUCAGAUUCAACAGUAAAGUGGUCUACAUAGAAACUUUGAACCUCUUCCUCAUAUACCUUGGGUGCAUCCACCUUGAAUAGGUGUCCUCACUGUUGAAACUCAACCAUCUCAAGCACUUGACGCAUUCCAGCCAUCUCAGAAAUCACAGGGUCAAAAGUACGACCCCACAACACUUUCUGAUAUCUCAACCUUUCUUUACCAGAUAUACUUCCCUUUCUUGCCUUCUCCACAGAACCGGGUUCCUUCACAUACCCCAACUUCCUUUUCACAGACUUUCUAUUGGACUUAACUUUCCCACUAGACUUCAUUUGCACAUCCUCAUCUGACACAGACUCUUCUACCACAGCUUCCUCCAACUUGCCAUUAUCCUUUUACUGACUUGUCACUGGGUGUUUCAAUAGCCUCUUUUGAAGUACUCUUAGUAGAGUGCUUCUUUUUUUGACUUCCUGAUCAAGGAACAUGGUUCAUCUGUGACUUACUCAUCAACUUCAACAAUUGGGAUAUUCUUGUCACAAACAACUUCACCAUUCUUCUCCAGCCUUUUCUUAUUCUUCUUCUUCUUCUUGUUACUUCUCUUACUCUACUUUAAAGCACACUCAAAAUCCUCCUUCUUCUGCAACCUUGUGGUAGGUUGCUUAGGAGGGGGCUCAGGAGUUGCCACUGGCCUCUUUAUGACAAUGAAUGCACUCAGAGAAACAUCAUCCUGAUCUUCUUCAUCACUGGACCUCAUAAUAGGAGAACCUACUUACAAAGGCUCAGCAACAAAGUGAGGAGAAGGAGCAGGGUUGAGACUAACCUCGGAAGAUGAUUCCUGACAUGUUUCAUCAGGAGAGGGGUUAGGUCCAUCAAGAGGGGUCCUAGUAGUCUCUUCUAGUGCAGGUUUUUCAAAAAGCACCAUAGCCAACAUGUUUUUCAAAAAGCACCAUAGCUCCUUCUCUCACCAAGUACUGAGUCUCUUCCCCUUAAAACUCAGACACAGUAGAGUUUUCCUUCCUAAUAAUUCCCUUAGCAGCAAUAGCCAACAUGUUUUCUAUGGCAUCCCUCUUUUGAGGUUCCAUAGAAGCAACAACAGGAGAUACAGGAGUACCUGUAGACUGAUCAGAGUUUUCUUAAGAACCCUUGGCACUUUCAAGACUGAUCGAUGAAGAUUUUUCUGUCGAUGGAGACUUACUCUUUUCCUCUAGAACUGCAAUGUCAUCUUCACUCUAUUCGUUGAAUGUCAUAGGAAACAAUGGAGAGAAGCUUUCAUUCUGAGGGUUGUAUAAGUUCUCAACACUUAGACGAGGAGUAGAAUCAGAGGGAGUGGAGAGAGGGAUAAGGGGUGAAGGAGAAACUGGUUUAGGGUUUUCAGUGGUGUAAGAAGAGAUGACUGGUAUUGUUUCCUCAGGAGAAGACUCUAGGUUUUUCUCUUCAAUGGUAGGAGGGAUUGGUUGAUCCUCAGCCGUGGUAGAAAAUUUUGCUUGAAGGUUCUAGAGAGAUUGAGAAGAAUAGAGAUGGUCGAUCAAUUUUUGUGAAUGAGAGGGUUAUAAUGAGGUGAAUGGAAAUUAUGAAGGAAAGAGAAACGGGUUCUGAAACGGCAGUAGAUGCAUGGGAAGAUGCAACAUUUCAGAGGAAGUGAAAGGAUUUAAAUGAAAAGAUGUGACAUACAAAGUCUGAAAAGGUUGAUGAUGUGGCAUUAUUUUUUGUUUUUAUUUUGAGAUAUGUAUGAUAAAGCAAAAGACAACUAACAUGUGGCAGAAGAACCAGGUUCCUGACUAGUCUUUACAAAAUGCUCAACCUUCUUUUACCGCUCAUGCAUUGCCUUAGUAGCUUCUAUAAUCAUCAUGCGUGUCUACCUGUAAUGGUAUAGAAGUGAGUUAGACUUGGCCGAAAAAUACUUUAGCUAAUUUUACCUAUGUGUGAUUUUCAUAGCCAUAUGGUAGGAAUCAGGUUCUCAAUUAGGCUUUAUUAACCCUAGUUCCAGCCUGUUUCUGUCAAAGUGUUCUCUACUUAGGGCUUUGGUGAAGAUAUCUACAAUUUGGUCCUCUUUACUAUAAAACUUCAUACAGAUGAGCCCCUUUUCCAUAUUGUCUCUGAGAAAAUGAUGUCUCACAUCAAUGUGUUUGGUUCUUUUAUGCUGCACUGGAUUUUUGGCCAUGUUGAAUGCACUUGUGUUAUCACACAGAAGAGGUACACAAUCAGUGUACACUCCAAAGUCUUCCAACUAUUGUUUGACCCAUAGAAUCCAAGCACAUCAGGAGGAUGUAGCGGCAUAUUUUGCUUCAGCUAUUGAAAGAGAUACUGAUUUUUGCUUUCUUGUGCCCCAUAAGAUAAGACAUGAUCCCAAGAAGUGAGCCAUUCCGGAUGUGCUUUUCCUAUCCACACGAUAACCUGCAUAAUCAUCAUCAACAUACCCAAUAAGAUUAAAAUUAUCACCUGAAGUGUAGUAUAGAACCAGGACUUGUGUUGCCUUAAGAUAUCUUAGGAUUUUUUUGGCAGCCUUCAAGUGAGAUUCCUUAGGAUUUGACUGAAACCUUGCACAUAGUCCCACACUAAAAACAACAUAUGGCCUGCUUGCAUUAAGAUAGAGGAGAGAUCCAAUAAUGCCUCUAUACAUUGUUUGAUUUACAGAAGAGCCAGAUUCGUCCAUGUCUAGUCAAGUGGCAGUGGAAAUAGGAGUGUCAAUCACUUUUGAAGCUUCCAUAUCAAAACUCUUCAAAAGCUCUUUUAUAUACUUAUGCUAACUAAUGAAUGUUCCCUUUGUGGACUACUUCACUUUAAGACCCAAGAAGAAAUUCAACUCACCCAUCAUGCUCAUCUCAAACUCACUUCCCAUGAGUUUUGCAAAUUCCUCACAUAGUGAAUCCGUUGUUGCCCCACAAAUGAUAUCAUCAACAUAUACCUGAACAAUGAGCAGGUUCCUCCCUCUUUUCAUCAAAAACAAAGUGUUGUCAAUUUUUCCUCUUGCAAAACCAUUUUCUAAGAGAAAUUUUGACAACCUCUCAUACCAAGCUCGAGGAUCCUGCUUCAAUCCAUACAAUGCCUUGUCCAAUUUGAACACAUAUUCAGGGUGUUCAUGACAUUCAAAACCUAGAGAUUUCUUUACAUACGCUUCUUUCUUGAGGAAGCCAUUAAGAAAUGCACUUUUGACAUCCAUUUGGAACAAAGUGAUUUACAUACAUGAUGUAAAGGCAAUGAGGAUUCUUAUAGCUUCCUUGCGAGUAACCGGAGCAAAUGUCUCAUCAUAAUCAAUUCCUUCCUCCUGAUUGUAGCCUUGUACCAUUAGCCUUGCCUUUUUCCUUGUAGUGUUUCCAUGUUCAUCAAGCUUAUUCCUGAAUACCUACUUGGUUCCUAUGAUGGUUCGAUUUGAGGGUCUAGGUACCAGGUGCCAUACGUUGUUCCUUUCGAACUGAUGCAGCUCAUAUUGCAUAGUUGUGAUUCAGUCUGCAUAUUUUAAGGCUUCUUUAAUAUUUUUGGGUUCUAUUUGGGAGAGGAAUGCCGAGAAAGCAAGUAAAUUUAUGGAUUUUGAUCUGGUUUGGACUCUUGAACCAGAGGAGUAAUUAUGUUGUCAAGAGAAUGGGAGUUUUGUGUUUCCAGUUGGGCACUUGAGCUUUUGUAGAGGAGUUGGGUAAUCCUGACUGGUUCCCUUGUAUCCUUCUUUUAGCUACCUCUGGAGUACUUUGAACUGCAUCAACUACACUUUCUUCAAUUUAGUGGUUGUAAUUGUAGUACUUGGUCCUUCUCCGACUGAUGAGGAAGAGACUGUAUUAUGUUCACUUGUCUCCUUCACUUGACUCGUCAUAUCUGCCUUUCCAUUUGCCAUAUCAAUGACCUCACCUAGAACUAGAAGAGGCUCUCCAUCUUGAUCAUCCUUGUUGUUUCUCUCAUAUGAGAGGUAGGACUCGUCAAAGAUUACGUGUACACUCUCCUCAACACAGUGAGUCUACUUGUUGUAUACCUUUUAGGCUUUACUUUGAGAAGAAUAUCCCAGAAAGAUUCCUUCAUCACUUUUGGCAUCAAACUUUCCAAGCUGAUCUUUUUCAUUAUUGAGAACAUAACAUUUGCACCCAAAUGCUCUUAAGUGAGUCACCUUGGGCUUCCUUCUAUUCAGCAACUCAUAGGGAGUUUUGUUCAAGAGAGACCUGAUCAUGCACCUAUUCACCAAGUAGCAGGCAAUGUUGAUAGCUUCAGCCCAGAAGUUCUUAGCAAUCCCACUAUCGAUCAAUAUUGUUCUUGCCAUUUCUUCAAGGGUUCUGUUCUUCCUUCCCAAAACUCCAUUUUAUUGUGGAGUUCUUGGGGCUGAGAAGUUGUGGGUAAUGCCAUUCUCAUUGCGGAAUUCAUCAAAAUUAACAUUGUAAAAUUCUGUUCCAUGAUCUGAUCUAAUGCAUGCUACUUUUGAUUCCAUCUUCACUUAAAUUUUCUUCACAAAGGCUAAAAAAACUUCAAAGGUUUCAUCUUUUAUUCUAAGGAACAGAGUCCAAGUGAAUUUGGAAUAGUCAUCCAUCAUCACAAAGAUAUAUCUCUUUCCUCCCCUACUUUGCACUCUCAUAGGACCGCAUAGAUCCAUAUGAAGGAGAUCAAGUGGUUUUGAGGUACUGGCAUCUUUCUUUGGCUUGAAUGAGGAUUUCACAUGCUUUCAUCUAGUGCAGGCAUCACAAACCUUAUGCUCUUUAAACUUUGACUUGGGCAGACCACGAACCAGGCCCUUCUAAACCAACUUAUUCAGUAGAGAGAAGCUUACAUGCCCCAACCUUCUAUGCAACAGUUCAACAUCAUCAUCAACUGCUUUCAAGUAUCUCAGAUCACCACUUUGUAAGGACCCAAAAUCAGCAACGUAAAUAUUCUUGUAUCUUUUGGCCACAAAUACCACUUCACUUGUGCAUAUUUUGGAAAAGAACUCCACCUUGUUUCCUUUAUCACAUAUCUGAUAAACACUUAAGAGACUGUACUUAAGACUAUUGACAUAGUACACAUUCUCAAUUGAGUAAGUGAGUGAUUUUUCAUUUUUUCCAACACCAAUAAUGUACCUUUUUUUUCCAUUUCCAAAUGAUACACUCCCUCCUUGCAGGGCUUUUAUUGAUAGAAAGUCCAUGGUAUUCCCAGUCAUGUGCUUUGAGCAUCCACUGUCCAUGAACCAUUGUUGACUGCUUCCUUUCAUUGUUCCCUGCACAAGGAAAUCAAGGGUUAGAUUAAGGAACCCAAGCAAGUUUGGAUCCCUUGUAAGAAACAAGCGGAUGAAUAAGUGCUCUUCUUGUCCAUGCAGGUAACAUUCGCUUUUUAUGGGUGGCACUUGUUCCUCUUUCAGCAACUACUCUUUCAGCAAAAACUUUGUUUGUUUGAAGAUACUGAACCCUGGCUUGGCAAUUUUCUUUGAAAUGCACAUUGUUCCCACACUAGGUACACAACCAAUUAUCGGGCACAAUAACGUAGUUGCUAUGAGGGUUAUAAGGAGUUCUCUCCCUUUGAAACCUAUUCCCUUCCUGUUUCUACCAUUAUUAACGUACAUGGCAGUAAUAGCAUCCAAGGACCAAGUACACUUAAGAGACUUCUCAAGAUCACUUUUUACUUUUUCCAAUUCUGCUUGACGUUGUCCAUUUUUUCUCAAGUUCAGCACACAGACUAGUUUUUACAACAUAUAACUCGUUUUCAAGUUUAAUAUAUGCCUCACUAGCCACUUCCUUUCCUUUUUCAGAAUUCCCAGGCCUACAUUCAGUUUUGAGUUCCUCUAUUGUUUCCUUUAAGUCUACAAUCACCACUAAGAGGUAAUCUCUUUUCUGCUUAAUAAUAGCCACUUUCUCCACUAAGGCAUCUUUUUUUUUACUGGAAUUCUCAAUGGUUUCUUUUAGGUCAACUACUACUACCAUCAGAUCAUCUCUUUCGUGUUAUACACUAGUGAUUCUCUCAGUUAGAACCUCCUUUUCUUUUUCUAGAUUACCUAUGGUUUCCUUCAAAUCAACCACAUAAACUACCAAGUCAUAUCUAGUUUGUUCAGUGUCCCCUAACUCCAAGGUUAAGGCAUCCUUAUCAUUUACGAGACUAUGGUAAGCAUCAAUCAACACAUUAGCUAAUGACAUGAGUUUUCUAGGAGAGUAAGACUUCAGAUUUCUCUGAACAUCCCAAAAUUUUACCUCAUCAUUGCCAUCGUCUUCAUAGUCAUAUAAUUGAGCCAUCAAAGCAAAUAUUGAUUCAUACUCAUUUUCUUCACUUCCAAUGGCCAUCAUUGAGUUAUCACCUGCAUCAUCUUCUUCUUCAGACUCGCUAGAAGAAUCUCCCCAUGUUACAAGAGCUUGCUUCACAACAUUAUCAGCAAUGUUCUUUCUUUUGAAACUUUUAUCUGGAACCAGGCUCCUUUUGGCUGCUUCGUCAGAGUUGUGUUUGAAGUGUUCUUGCUUCAGGAGAGGGCAAUCUUUGAUGAAAUGCCCUGGCUUUCCACACUUAUGAUAGAGGUCAUAGUUCUUUGGCUUGCUAGAACUGCCCCUUUUUGGUACAUCUCCAUUCAUUCUAACCAUUUUUUGAAAUCUUCUGGUUAAAUAAGCUAUGGCACUAUCCUCGCCACUUGAUUCAUUGCCUUCUGCCUUAAGUACCAGGUUCUUUUCCUUCUUUGGUUCUCUUCUUUCACUGUCCUUCUUCUUCUUCAUUUCAUAGGUUUUCAGAUUCCCAACCAGCUCAUCUAUAGUCAGCUCCUAUAAAUCCUUUGCUUCAGUAAUGGCAUUCACUUUACUCUCCCAGGAACUAGGCAAAACACUGAGAAUUUUCCUUAUGAGCUUGUUCCUGAGAAAGAUUUCACCAAGCGAGUGUAGCUCAUUUAUAAUGGAAUUGGAUUGAGUGUGCAUGUCUUGAAUGGAUUCAUCGUCUUUCAUUCUGAAGAGCUCAUACUUAAUGGUGAGCAUGUCAAUCUUAGAUUGCUUUACUUGAGUAGUUCCUUUGUGUGCUGUUUGUAAAGCUUCCCAUUCUCUUUGGUAGAUUGGCAAGCUAAAAUCCUGUUGUAUUCAUCAGGACCAAUACCACACACCAAAAUUUUCUUGCCACAAAAAUUUUUUCUCCACAUCCUUCAUGUCAACAUCAUUGUAUUCUUUCCUCGUCUUAGGCAAUGUCACAGUAGGAUCUCUGACCUUUUUUGUAGGGACAUAAGGACCAUCACAUAUAACAUCCCACAGCUCGGAAUCUUCAACCAUGAUAAAGUCAUGCAUCAUUGUCUUCCACCACCCAUAAUAUUGGCCAUUGAACCUGGGUGGUCUGUAGGUAGACUGACCCUCUUCGAAAUUUGGUGGAGCAUGUAUGAGGAUCCUUUCUAGGUGUUAACCUAAUAGAAAGAACCCGCUCUGAUACCAAUUGAUAGAAUAUAUGAGUCCAUCAAACUAUAUUGAGAUCGGUUCCUAUAUAGGUUUCCACAGAUAAGACUAAUGCAAUAGUAAGUAAAUGGAACAGGGAACUUUUCUGUGGAAAAAGCCCUACUCAAGGGGAUAAAAAACCACGACCUACACUAGUAGGAUUUCAACUUCACUAUGAGCAAUCUUUAGAUUACAACCUAUGCAAUCAAAGAAUUAAACUCUUAAUCCCUUAUUAACUUGUAAUUCACUUAUUACAAGCCACUUUGCAAUACACCUAUUACAAAGACUUCAACUCAUGACUAACUCUAGUCACGACACAAAUACUAAAGGUUUAUAGAUUAUAAGGUGUUCCUAAUUAAAGCUUCAAGAUAAGCAAAGUACGAAUUAUAAUGAAGAACAAAUACAAAGUUACAACUUAACUAAGGACAUACAAUAGACUUGUUGUGGGAACUGGUCCGUAGUAGUGUUGUACUUUGUCCUUGAUGCACUUGAGAAUUGAAUGCUUGAUUGUCAGAUGCUUGGAGUGCUUGAAUAAAUUCUCAAGUGUUCAAGUGAUGUUUUUUUGUAAUGUUUUGUUAAUACAAAUUGGAUGACAUCACUUGAAUGAUGUAGUCACUUGGUUUUUUACAAGGUCAGUGAGAAGUGACUGUUGCACUGUGUUGCACUAUUUGCGUUUACAGUGCAGGCAGUCACUUUCCAAUUGUAAAGAGUUGACUUCGUACUGCUAUCAGGGGAACCCAAUAGGAUCAGGUCCCGUGUUGACUCUUUAUCUUCUAAAGUCAUAGCAACUCACAUUAGCUUGAGUCCGAUGAUUGAGUUGUGUACCAAGUGUAUCAGGAUCCUUAUCUGGUUCUUUGAUAGUGUCACGACCCAAAUUGAUGGGCCACAACAGGCACCCGGUACCUUACUCAACCGAGUACCAACAUCACAUAUCUUUCUUAUUACAUCAUUAUAUACAAGUGACAUACGGGCCUAAUAGGCCAUCAUGAUUAUUUAUAAACUCAAAAUAUUGGCCGACAAGGCCAUACAUUGUUUCACGUACACGACAUCUGUCUAAAAGCCUCUAAGAGUACAUAAAUGUCAUAAAGGUCAGGAUAGAGUCCCUCCAUACCAAACAAUAUGCAUAUAACUUGUACUAAAUAAACAAGCAACUCCGAAGCAAAUGGAGUGCACCAACAUCUUUCGUUGAGCUGAUAGCCUACUUGGAUGGCUCUCGACCUAUCUAUCGAGACCUGCGGGCAUGUAAUGAAGCAUCCCCAAGCAAAAAAGGACGUUAGUACAAAUAAUGUACUGAGUAUGUAAGGCAUAUAAAUAAGUACAUAACAGACAUCGAGGAAAUAUAGAGAAAAUGACUCCACCUGUAAGUCUGAAUAACUUUUUAAAUCAUGAAAUAAUUAUUGUAUCAUGCAUAUGCGUAUGAAUGUCAUGUCGUGCAUAGGUGCAUGUUUCAUAACAUCAUCGGCCUCUGAGGGCAUCCCAUCAUAUCAUCUUGGCCAUUAUGGGCAAAAUUAUCAAUGUAUAUCAGCUGAUCAGGUGGUGGUGCGUAUAUAACGCCGUAACCUUUUCCCAUAUCUCAUAUACAUAUAUUUACAUAUAUACACGUAUAUAACUCCAUCUGGUCAUGGGUCAAUGCACAUAAGUGAAAUGCAUGAGAAAUACAUAAUAAUCCCAAUAUUCCUUCUAGAUAAACUUUUCCAACUGCGUAUUAUUUUGAGACCCAUGAACAGAAAAUAAUAAUAAUUUUCAUGGAGAAUAAAGAAUACAGACACCCCUAAUAAUUCUAUGAAUAGAGUAAUUUAUGGACACUGUGUAUUUUCUAGUUUUUUUUAUAUAAUUUAGACCAUACCAAAAGAAAGAAGGGAGGGUCUUAACAUACCUAGAGUAGGAAAAAGUCUGUAUAAUAUUAUGUU